UACGUAGGGUGCAAGCGUUGUCCGGAAUUAUUGGGCGUAAAGGGCUCGUAGGCGGUCCAUCGCGUCGGGAGUGAAAAGCUGGGGCUUAACCCCAGUCCUGCUUCCGAUACGGGUGGACUAGAGGUAGGUAGGGGGAGAACGGAAUUCCUGGUGUAGCGGUGAAAUGCGCAGAUAUCAGGAGGAACACCGGUGGCGAAGGCGGUUCUCUGGGCCUUACCUGACGCUGAGACGCGAAAGCUAGGGGAGCGAACAGG
rnacentral:rRNA from 1 species